GCGCCCGUAGCUCAGCUGGAUAGAGUACCUGACUACGAAUCAGGUGGUCGGAGGUUCGAAUCCUCCCGGGCGUGCCA
rnacentral:tRNA from 3 species